rnacentral:tRNA from 1 species
UCUAAUAUGGCAGAUAACAUGCCUUGGUCUUAAACCCCAAUUAUAAAGUUAUUUUAACUUUUUUUAGAA